rnacentral:snRNA from 1 species
CAGCCCUUUGUCGCUAAGAUUCG